rnacentral:ribozyme from 1 species
AAAUAAAGAUGGAAAAAUCUAUUGCAACCAUCAAAAUGAAAGUUUUACACAAAUGGGGGAGAUAUUGGAAUACAGUAAGAUGAACCCAAAAGGCAUCAUUUUGUUGAGGCCAAAAAAUAUCCAGGUUUGAUUGCACUAGUUGAUGAAUGAAAACCUCCUUCUUCUCUUGCUUGUGUGUAGUCUGCCAGCCAAGGCUAGGAACUACACUAUACUUUUCUGUAAAAUACCA